rnacentral:rRNA from 1 species
UACGUAGGGUCCGAGCGUUGUCCGGAUUUAUUGGGCGUAAAGAGCUCGUAGGCGGCUCGGUAAGUCGGAUGUGAAACUCGGGCUCAACCCGAGACGCCAUCCGAUACUGCUGUGGCUUGAGUCUGGUAGGGAGAACGGAAUUCCUGGUGUAGCGGUGAAAUGCGCAGAUAUCAGGAGGACACCGGUGGCGAAGGCGGGUCUCGUAGGCCGACACUGACGCUGAGGAGCGAAGCGUGGGAGCGAACAGGA